rnacentral:rRNA from 1 species
GUCGAGCGGACAGAUGGGAGCUUGCUCCCUGAUGUUAGCGGCGGACGGGUGAGUAACACGUGGGUAACCUGCCUGUAAGACUGGGAUAACUCCGGGAAACCGGGGCUAAUACCGGAUGCUUGUUUGAACCGCAUGGUUCAAACAUAAAAGGUGGCUUCGGCUACCACUUACAGAUGGACCCGCGGCGCAUUAGCUAGUUGGUGAGGUAACGGCUCACCAAGGCAACGAUGCGUAGCCGACCUGAGAGGGUGAUCGGCCACACUGGGACUGAGACACGGCCCAGACUCCUACGGGAGGCAGCAGUAGGGAAUCUUCCGCAAUGGACGAAAGUCUGACGGAGCAACGCCGCGUGAGUGAUGAAGGUUUUCGGAUCGUAAAGCUCUGUUGUUAGGGAAGAACAAGUACCGUUCGAAUAGGGCGGUACCUUGACGGUACCUAACCAGAAAGCCACGGCUAACUACGUGCCAGCAGCCGCGGUAAUACGUAGGUGGCAAGCGUUGUCCGGAAUUAUUGGGCGUAAAGGGCUCGCAGGCGGUUCCUUAAGUCUGAUGUGAAAGCCCCCGGCUCAACCGGGGAGGGUCAUUGGAAACUGGGGAACUUGAGUGCAGAAGAGGAGAGUGGAAUUCCACGUGUAGCGGUGAAAUGCGUAGAGAUGUGGAGGAACACCAGUGGCGAAGGCGACUCUCUGGUCUGUAACUGACGCUGAGGAGCGAAAGCGUGGGGAGCGAACAGGAUUAGAUACCCUGGUAGUCCACGCCGUAAACGAUGAGUGCUAAGUGUUUAGGGGGUUUCCGCCCCUUAGUGCUGCAGCUAACGCAUUAAGCACUCCGCCUGGGGAGUACGGUCGCAAGACUGAAACUCAAAGGAAUUGACGGGGGCCCGCACAAGCGGUGGAGCAUGUGGUUUAAUUCGAAGCAACGCGAAGAACCUUACCAGGUCUUGACAUCCUCUGACAAUCCUAGAGAUAGGACGUCCCCUUCGGGGGCAGAGUGACAGGUGGUGCAUGGUUGUCGUCAGCUCGUGUCGUGAGAUGUUGGGUUAAGUCCCGCAACGAACGCAACCCUUGAUCUUAGUUGCCAGCAUUCAGUUGGGCACUCUAAGGUGACUGCCGGUGACAAACCGGAGGAAGGUGGGGAUGACGUCAAAUCAUCAUGCCCCUUAUGACCUGGGCUACACACUUGCUACAAUGGACAGAACAAAGGGCAGCGAAACCCCGAGGUUAAGAAUCCCACAAAUCUGUUCUCAUUUCGGAUCCCAAUCUCGAACUCCACUGCGUGAAACUUGAAUCGCUAGUAAUCCCGGAUUAACAUGGCCCGGUAGAAACUUUCCCGGGGCCUUUAAAACCCGCCCGUCACACCACAAGAUUUUUGACCCCCGAAACCUGGGAGGGACCUUUUUAGAGACCCCCCCCC